UACGUAGGUGGCAAGCGUUGUCCGGAUUUAUUGGGUUUAAAGGGUGCGUAGGCGGCAUUUUAAGUCAGUGGUGAAAUACUUCAGCUUAACUCUAGAACUGCCAUUGAUACUAUCUGUCUUGAAUAUUGUGGAGGUAAGCGGAAUAUGUCAUGUAGCGGUGAAAUGCUUAGAUAUGACAUAGAACACCUAUUGCGAAGGCAGCUUACUACGCAUAUAUUGACGCUGAGGCACGAAAGCGUGGGGAUCAAACAGG
rnacentral:rRNA from 1 species